rnacentral:rRNA from 1 species
UACGUAGGAUGCAAGCGUUGUCCGGAAUUAUUGGGCGUAAAGAGCGCGCAGGCGGUCUAUCAAGUCAGAUGUGAAAUAUCCAGGCUUAACCUGGAGGGGUCAUUUGAAACUGGUAGACUAGAGUACAGCAGAGGAUAGCGGAAUUCCCGGUGUAGUGGUGAAAUGCGUAGAUAUCGGGAGGAACACCAGUGGCGAAGGCGGCUAUCUGGGCUGACACUGACGCUGAGGCGCGAAGGCUAGGGGAGCAAACAGG